UUUUCUCUCAAUUACUGUUCUGAUGUUUGUGUGUCUGAUUUAUCUCACCAAUAUUUGCAGGUGAACUUUUCGUAUCAUGAAGCCAGAGAACAGAACCUAACUAACAAAGAUGGUCUCGUCCAUUACUAAUCUUGAAAGAGAUCCCAAACAGGGGAUAAUGAACAACUGAUGGUGUAUACUCAAGAAGAAUCUAGUUAAGCUAAUGGAGAAAGGAUGUAAUUGAUAUGGGAAUUGUAUUCAUGUUACUUUAGCUUUGUUUUGUGUUCAGUUGUCUUUUGAAUUGUAAUUUUGUUUAUGAUUUCUCAAUCUAUGUUAUAUGUUUUUAUGUCAAGUUAAUUUAAAUUUUAUGUAAUUUAUGUUAAAUUAA